rnacentral:rRNA from 1 species
UAACAAGGAUUCCCCUAGUAACUGCGAGUGAAGCGGGAAAAGCUCAAAUUUAAAAUCUGGCGGCUUUGCCGUCCGAGUUGUAAUCUGGAGAAGCGUUUUCUGUGUCGGACCGUGUACAAGUCUCUUGGAACAGAGCGUCAUAGAGGGUGAGAAUCCCGUCUUUGACACGGACUACCGAUGCUUUGUGAUGCGCUCUCGAAGAGUCGAGUUGUUUGGGAAUGCAGCUCAAAAUGGGUGGUAAAUUCCAUCUAAAGCUAAAUAUUGGCGAGAGACCGAUAGCGAACAAGUACCGUGAGGGAAAGAUGAAAAGCACUUUGGAAAGAGAGUUAAACAGUACGUGAAAUUGUUGAAAGGGAAACGCUUGAAGUCAGUCGCGUCGUCCGGGACUCAGCCUUGCUUUUGCUUGGUGUACUUUCCGGUUGACGGGCCAACAUCGAUUUUGGCUGGUGGAUAAAGGCAAGGGGAAUGUGGCACCCUCGGGUGUGUUAUAGCCUCUUGUUGCAUACGCUGGCUGGGAUCGAGGACCGCAGCAUGCCUUUUUGGCCGGGGUUCGCCCACGUAACAUGCUUAGGAUGUUGGCGUAAUGGCUUUAAACGACCCGUCUUGAAACACGGACCAAGGAGUCUAACAUGCCCGCGAGUGUUAGGGUGGAAAACCCUUGCGCGUAAUGAAAGUGAGAGUUGGGACCUCUGUCGCGGAGGGCACCGACGCCCGGCCUUGAACUUCUGUGACGGUGCCGCGGUGGAGCGUGUAUGUUGGGACCCGAAAGAUGGUGAACUAUGCCUGAAUAGGGUGAAGCCAGAGGAAACUCUGGUGGAGGCUCGUAGCGAUUCUGACGUGCAAAUCGAUCGUCAAAUUUGGG